rnacentral:rRNA from 1 species
GAUCAAGUGCCUUAAGAGCAUUCAGUGGAUGCCUAGGCGCAUGCAGGCGAUGAAGGACGUAAUACGCUGCGAUAAGCUUCGGGGAGUUGCGAAUAAACUUUGAUCCGAAGAUUUCCGAAUGGGGAAACCCGACCAUUUAGGUCACCCGCAAGGGAGCUAACCCGGGGAACUGAAACAUCUAAGUACCCGGAGGAAAGGACAUCAAACGAGACUCCGUUAGUAGUGGCGAGCGAACGCGGACCAGGCCAGUGGCUUGGUGGUAAGAACGGGAAGAAGCUGGAAAGCUUUGCCAUAGUGGGUGAUAGCCCCGUACCGGUAGAAAGCCAUCAAGUCCUCGAGUAAGGCGGGACACGUGAAAUCCUGUCUGAACAUGGGGGGACCACCCUCCAAGCCUAAGUACUCGCAUGCGACCGAUAGUGAACCAGUACCGUGAGGGAAAGGUGAAAAGCACCCCGACGAGGGGAGUGAAACAGUUCCUGAAACUGGAUGCUUACAAACAGUAGGAGCCCAAGGUUCGUCCUGGGUGACUGCGUACCUCUUGUAUAAUGGGUCAGCGACUUAGUCUAACUAGCAAGCUUAAGCCGGUAGGUGUAGGCGCAGCGAAAGCGAGUCUGAAUAGGGCGAAUAAGUUAGUUGGAUUAGACCCGAAACCGAGUGAUCUAGCCAUGAGCAGGUUGAAGGUACGGUAACACGUACUGGAGGACCGAACCCACGUCAGUUGAAAAUGACGGGGAUGACUUGUGGCUAGGGGUGAAAGGCCAAUCAAACUCGGAAAUAGCUGGUUCUCCGCGAAAGAUAUUUAGGUAUCGCCUCGGACGAAUACCUUGGGGGGUAGAGCACUGGAUGGGCUAGGGGGUCUCACCGACUUACCAAACCUAACCAAACUCCGAAUACCCAAGAGUACUAUCCGGGAGACAGACGGCGGGUGCUAAGGUCCGUCGUCAAAAGGGAAACAGCCCUGACCGACAGCUAAGGUCCCCAAGUCAUGGCUAAGUGGGAAAGCAUGUGGGAAUGCUUAGACAACCAGGAGGUUGGCUUAGAAGCAGCCAUCCUUUAAAGAUAGCGUAACAGCUCACUGGUCAAGCGUUCCUGCGGCGAAGAUGUAACGGGGCUAAAGCCAUGCACCGAAGCUUCGGGUUUGCACGUUUACGUGCAAGCGGUAGCGGAGCGUUCUGUAAGUCUGCGAAGGGAGACCCGUGAGGGCUCCUGGAGAUAUCAGAAGUGCGAAUGCUGACAUGAGUAGCGACAAAAAGUGUGAGAGACACUUUCGCCGUAAGUCCAAGGGUUCCUGCGCAAUGCUAAUCAGCGCAGGGUUAGUCGGCCCCUAAGUCGAGGCAGAAAUGCGUAGACGAUGGGAAUCACGUUAAUAUUCGUGAACCUGGUGGUAGUGACGGAUCGCGCAGAUCUGUACGUCCUUAUUGGAUUGGAUGUGCAGUGAGCCGGUUCCAGGAAAGAGCUCCACCGACAUAGACCGUACCCUAAACCGACACAGGUGGACAGGUAGAGCAUACCAAGGCGCUUGAGAGAACGAUGCUGAAGGAACUCGGCAAAUUGCACGCGUAACUUCGGGAUAAGCGUGACCUCCAUGCGGGCAACCGUCUGGGGGUGGCACAAAAGAGGGGGUGGCGACUGUUUACUAAAAACACAGGGCUCUGCGAAGUUGCAAAACGACGUAUAGGGUCUGACGCCUGCCCGGUGCCGGAAGGUUAAAAGGAGAUGUGCAAGCAUUGAAUUGAAGCCCCGGUAAACGGCGGCCGUAACUAUAACGGUCCUAAGGUAGCGAAAUUCCUUGUCGGGUAAGUUCCGACCUGCACGAAUGGCGUAACGACUUCCCCACUGUCUCCAGCAUCGACUCAGCGAAAUUGAACUCCCCGUGAAGAUGCGGGGUUCCUGCGGUCAGACGGAAAGACCCCAUGCACCUUUACUAUAGCUUUACGCUGGCAGCCGUGUCGGCAUGUGCAGGAUAGGUGGUAGGCUUUGAAGCCAGGGCGCCAGCCUUGGUGGAGCCGCAAGAUGAGAUACCACCCUUAUCGUCAUGACUGUCUAACCGCGAUAUUACAGUAUCCGGGACAGCGUAUGGUGGGUAGUUUGACUGGGGCGGUCGCCUCCCAAAGAGUAACGGAGGCGCGCGAUGGUGGGCUCAGACCGGUCGGAAAUCGGUCGCUGAGUGCAAUGGCAUAAGCCUGCCUGACUGCGAGACUGACAAGUCGAGCAGAGACGAAAGUCGGUCAUAGUGAUCCGGUGGUCCCGCGUGGAAGGGCCAUCGCUCAACGAAUAAAAGGUACGCUGGGGAUAACAGGCUGAUACUGCCCAAGAGUCCAUAUCGACGGCAGUGUUUGGCACCUCGAUGUCGGCUCAUCACAUCCUGGGGCUGGAGCAGGUCCCAAGGGUAUGGCUGUUCGCCAUUUAAAGUGGUACGUGAGCUGGGUUUAGAACGUCGUGAGACAGUUCGGUCCCUAUCUGCCGUGGGUGUUGGAAUAUUGAGAGGAGCUGACCCUAGUACGAGAGGACCGGGUUGGACGGAUCUCUGGUGGACCUGUUGUGGCGCCAGCCGCAUUGCAGGGUAGCUAAAUCCGGACGGGAUAAGCGCUGAAAGCAUCUAAGCGCGAAGCCUCCCUCAAAACGAGUAUUCCCUUGAGAGCCGUGGAAGACCACCACGUUGAUAGGCCGGAUGUGGAAGCGCAGCAAUGCGUGAAGCUGACCGGUACUAAUAGCUCGAUCGGCUUGAUCGUUCUCAUU